rnacentral:rRNA from 1 species
UACGUAGGGGCGAGCGUUGUCCGGAAUCAUUGGGCGUAAAGAGCGUGUAGGCGGCUUGGCAAGUCUGACGUGAAAGCCCGCGGCUCAACCGCGGAUUGUCGUUGGAAACUGCCUCGCUAGAGUCCGGAAGAGGAGAGCGGAAUUCCUGGUGUAGCGGUGGAAUGCGCAGAUAUCAGGAAGAACACCCGUGGCGAAGGCGGCUCUCUGGGACGGUACUGACGCUGAGACGCGAAAGCGUGGGAGCGAACAGG